GGCGCAUUCGUCUAGUGGCCUAGGGACAUCGCCCCUCUCAAGGCGAAGAUCGCCGGUUCGAAUCCGGCAUGCGCUA
rnacentral:tRNA from 1 species